rnacentral:rRNA from 1 species
UACGAAGGGGGCUAGCGUUGCUCGGAAUCACUGGGCGUAAAGCGCACGUAGGCGGCUUUCUAAGUCAGGGGUGAAAUCCUGGAGCUCAACUCCAGAACUGCCUUUGAUACUGGGAAGCUCGAGUCCGGAAGAGGUGAGUGGAACUCCGAGUGUAGAGGUGAAAUUCGUAGAUAUCGAGAGGAACACCAGUGGCGAAGGCGAGUCUCUGGACGAUUCCUGACACUGAGGCACGAAAGCCAGGGGAGCAAACGGG